AUUUCAUUAUUUCCGUCUGCGGAAAAGGCGAUUUAAGGAGCAGAGUAGUUCCGUCAUCUAUCCAUAAAAUAUUUUGUCAGAUUUUUUUCCUUCCCUUUUUCUCUGUUGUCUGAAAAUUAAAAUUUAUUAGGGUUUUUGAUUUGAAUCAAAAAUUGGGGUUUAUAUUCUUCAAUCAUGGUUUCUGAUUCAAUUAUCAAUGCUUCCAUUCCUAAUGCUUCCAAGUAUUUCGCCAAGAAAAAGAGGGCGAAUAGGUCGGCGAAAUUGAAGCAGUGUAAGCUCGAUGCUCGUCGAGAACAGUGGCUUUCUCAAGUUAAGAGCAAGAAUUGCAAAGAUGAAGUGAAUGCAUCUUCUGCUAUUAUUGGUUGUGGUGGAGGUGUUCAAUUUAAGCGACUGGAAAUUGAGGCUCCGGAGAAAGCAAUGCCUUUCUGUAAGGAUUUUGAAGUGAAAAAUCCGACAGUUGAGAUUAGUCACCAUGACAGUGAUUUGGAAUUGUCCCCUGCUAAUAGUCCCACGAGUAGCAUUUCUGGGGGGAAUGAUUCCGGAAAUGUUUAUACUGGUAGCUGCAGUAGCAGUUUUAGUUUCAGUAGCGGUGGGUGUUGCUCAGGGAGUAUAACUGAGGAAGAGGAGGGUGAAGGAGGUGGAGGUUGUGACGAUGAUGAAUGUUUGGAUGAUUGGGAGGCGGUUGCAGACGCUUUGGUGGGUGUUUCUGAUGAUAAUCUGGUUCAUAACCAAAAUGAUGGUGCUUCCCCUGAGCAAGAAACGGAUGUUGGAUUGAGCUGUGUGGUUCAACAUACUAAUCUUGAGAAUAUUGAUGCUCAAGUGGAGAAAUCAAAGAGGGAUGGAGUUGGAAUUUUGGGCAGGGGUAGUGAAAAUUGUAAAGCUUGGAGGCCGGAUGAUGCUUUUAGGCCUCAGAGUUUGCCAAAUUUGGGAGUACAUCAGAGUUUUCCAUCGAGCAUAGAGAGGCAUCAUGGGUUCAUGAACCCAAGGGUUCAUAACAUGACUCCUGGUGUUCCUACUUCAUGCCCUAUAUGCUGCGAGGAGUUGGACUUGACGGACUCGAGUUUUCUCCCUUGCUCGUGUGGGUUCCAUUUGUGCCUUUUUUGUCAUAAGCGGAUUAUUGAGGAAGAUGGUCGGUGUCCUGGAUGCAGGCAGCCAUAUGCUUCAGAUCCAUUAGAGAAGGAGACAAUUGUAUCCAUGUCCGGUGCUGGAGGUUGUCUAACAAUUUGUUUGGCUCGCUCUUGUAGCAUGUCGUCUUCAAGGAUUUAGAAGAGAAAAGUUGUCUUUGUGUUGAUUCAGCUUAUGUAUGGUGGAACUCAGUUUUUACAUUAUGGUGUCUAUCAGUGUUUUGUUCAUCUAGCUUGAUUCUAGUUUGUAGGAGUGGGUAUAAAAGCCUGUGGCUUUAAGCAUUGAAUUGUUGAGCUGGCUUGGUUAUAGAGCUUGGUCCAAAUCUAAGUGGUGCAUAUGCUGAUUGUAGAGGAAUGGAUGCCAGUAUGUGAAUAAGAAACUUGAAUGGAGCUUGUUGGGGAGAAAUCUUUCAGUUUGAAGAAAUUAUACUUUAGAAAAAAUUUAGCUUGCUUUCCUUGCUGUGCUGCUGGGUGCUGCUCCUUCUCAUAAGACUGGAUUAAGAAAAACAAGAGAAGAAAAAAUGGUAUACAAUAUCUGCAGAAUGGCUAAACCUACUUGUAUUUGAUGUGUUAAACUUUGGUGGUUAUUAUCGGAUAAUUAGUUUUUUUUUGUGUCUGUGGUGUUGUUGAUUAUGGCUUCUCAUACACUAAAAUGCUUUUCUAUUGAUUGAGAUCAAGAUGGUCAUUGUUAAAAUUCAUAUAUCUCUGUAUGGUUAUGUGCUAACUAGGGGAUGUAUGCACUUCUUUAAAUCCUUGAAUAGGGAUGUAUUGUCAAUGAGGAAGUGCUUUAUGCUUCAUCUCUUAGAUGCAAGGGUACUGUUAAGUUUUCAAGAUUGCUAGAUCGCCAAGUUUGUGUAUAAAAGAGAAAUAUUGAUUAUCAUCGGAGCAUAUGCACUUCAAGUGUUCACCUUGAUUGAAGCAAACGAAGCAUAGGAAAUAAAAUUUUGGGAGGAGUUAGAUGGCGUGAAAGCAAAUAAUAUCAAAAAUUCUAUAUGCUAGCAGCAAUUUUAAGGAUUAUGCUACGUAGAUGCAAAGUGGUUUUGAGAGUGUCGAUGGUGGUUUGGAUUUUGAAUGAGAAAUGAGUAAGGGACUAGGUAAGAUUAUGUAAGGAAGAUAAAUUUUGGUGUGUAAUUACUGUACUUAACGUGUGGUAUAGAAAGCAUGGAAACCUUUUAAAUGUAAUAAAAAUAAAUCAUUUUGUGACUCAUAGAAAUGGUGGUAGGAUUGCUAUCCAAAUUGGUUACUUGAUUAGUAGAAUUGAUAGUGGAAGAGGUUUAAUUGGUCAUAGUUUGUGACUCAUAGAAAUAGGUUUAAUCUAUUCUUUUGACCAUUUGCAAGUCAAGCUACAAGCAUUGAUCAUAGUUUGUGUUCGCAUGUUAUUUGCUUGCUCUUCUCAUAUUUCUUUCUACAUUAAGGCAAUUGUUUGUUCUGUUGCUUUGGUUUACUUUGGCUUGGAAGCUAAUGGAUUGUCAGCUGAAGUAUCUAGCCGGUCAAGUCCUGUAUGAUGAUUGGUAAGAAGCAUUCAGACAUUUUAUAUUUUGCAGUGAAGCUCAUGGGUUAGAUUGGUGCCAUUUCUUUCUAUUUGUGUCAAAAUAUUUUUUAGUUCAACAUGGUAGUUAACAAAUUUGAUGCUUAAGUUCUAAUAUUGCUUAUGUUGCGUUUUACUUGCAAUAUCCAAAUGUGAUGUACCCUAUGUUACUCAUGAUAAGCUACUACUACUAGUUAUCACUAUUGUUGUGUACUCAACUGUACUUAAACUGCUACUUAAAAGUCUUGGUAUAAUGUGGUGUCUGAUUUUACCAGCUUUUUGAACAUGGUUGGUAGUUUGGAUGUCUUAGCGCCCAACUGCUCCAGGUUGUGCCCUGAUGAAUCACUAGUUAUCUAUGAGUUACGGAGAUUAGAACUGGGGAAGUCAAGAUGAGCAUCUAACUUCACUUUCAUGUUACUAUCCGCGGAGAAGGAACAUCACAUACAGAUGAUGAAUCAGGAAGGGAACCAGCAUCAACAACAACAAAUGAUGAACCAACACCAGCACAUACAUCACAACCAACAUCAAAGUCCAACAACAAAUGAGGAAGCAGAAGAAACAGAGUUCAUAUGAACACAAAACAGAGAUCAACAACAACAAAUGAGGAACACAGAUUUUUUGGGAAAUUACAAGGGCAAAGAAGAACAUGUGAAAAUACAUGAGUAUACUUUG